UACGUAGGGUGCGAGCGUUGUCCGGAAUUAUUGGGCGUAAAGGGCUCGUAGGCGGUUUGUCGCGUCGGGAGUGAAAACCCAGGGCUUAACCCUGGGCUGGCUUCCGAUACGGGCAGACUAGAGGUAUGCAGGGGAGAACGGAAUUCCUGGUGUAGCGGUGAAAUGCGCAGAGAUGUGGAGGAACACCGAUGGCGAAGGCAGCCUCCUGGGCCAACACUGACGCUCAUGCACGAAAGCGUGGGGAGCAAACAGG
rnacentral:rRNA from 1 species